AGAGACUGAGAGAGGAGCCGUCUGAGUGUCAAACCGCAACCAUGUCAAACCAUCACCCACCUUCAGCCCAAUCUUCUGCCAUUGUCAUAUACCGUCGAAACCAUUACCAAUACAGGUUGAAUGGUGAGGGAAAACAUGGCACGAUCAAAGACAUCUACAAACCCACUUAGAGAAGUAGCGGAAAAAAUGGAGAAAUAAUAGAAAGGGUUUUUUCGAUAUUGGUCUCCAUCAAAAGUGUGGGACUCUUUACAGAUGUAACGCCGAAAUCUGAUCCAACAUGAACAAUGUGAAACCAAAGAGGAGCAAAAGGGACGAUGAUUGUUGUGAACCUUUGCCAUAGUUCGUUGGUGUGAAGAAGUGCUGGGGCUAAGGCUGUCUCUCUCGAAGCCAAGAAGCCAAAGUGAAAGCGAAAGCGAUGAUUUUUCUAAACCAUUGUCAUAGUCCCA